rnacentral:tRNA from 1 species
UGUAGGAUCAACUAAAGGGAAGUUUCCAGACUCAUAAUCUGGCCAUGCAGGUUCAACUCCUGCUCCUGCCU